UGGAGCUCCUUCUCCACCCUCCAAUAGCAUCAGCUGCAGCUUAUCAGCUCUGGGUGCAGCCCAGGCUUCAGCUAACUGAGGGCUUCCUGCUGAUGCUGCGGCAGGAAGCGUUUGCUUUUUAUUUCCACUUUCCUCUGCUGGUGUGGUUGGAUCAGGGCUGGCAGCCUGCAGGCCCUGUGGAGCAGCAGCAGAGCAGGUUCAGCAGGAGCACCUGGAGCCAUCGCUGUGAGCCAACUCACGUGGGCACACCAGCAACUGGUGGUUGAAGCACUGUGGCACUUGGAUGCUCCUUUCCCAGCAUAUGGCAUGAGCACACCCGCAGUGAAAACAAUGCAGGCCCGUCUGGUCUCCAACACAGCGCGUUUUUGCGGGUCCCAAGAGGAGGUGCUAUCCACUACUUAAUUGAGAGUAUUCUGUUUCUCCCUGAGCUACUCUUAAUCUGCUCUCUCAUUUCUGCUGCAAAAUGUUAACAGACCAAAAGGCACACGGGACAGGAGGUACUUGAUCAGUGCAGUUAAAAAAAAAAACAAAAAAAACACCUAUGGCUAAAAUAAACAGUUAAGAGACUGAGCAACACGUUCCAGCCCUACAAAAGACUGCAGUGCCCCUGCCAGAGCUGGAGUGGUGGAUGAUUCAAAUCUGGUCAUUGUUUAAUAUUACACUUUAUCCCUGAAACUUGAUACUACUUAAAAAUACAUAUGUUCAGUGUUAUAGUAACUGUAGCUUAGUCAAACAUAUUCAUGAUCCUUCCUGAAAUACACAAUUCACUCGGUGAAUAAAGCUUGUAAAAGUCGGUAACCACAAAGAUGCAUAGCAAAAAAAGUUUGUACAUGUCAGACACCACUCUGAUGGCAAUUUCCAAAAGGCUAAUUUAAUGGCAAUUGGAUUUUUCCUGCCCUACUGCACCAUUAGCUGACAACCUGCUUCUUCAUCACAUCUGCAAACAGUUCAGUUAGACACUUUUGACAUCUCCCACUUAGAAAAGCUAUUUCCAGGAAGUUAUUAACAAAAAUGGAUUCUUCCUGGUCAAGCUCAGGGUGAAGAGAGCCUUUAGUAAGGGAUGUCAAGGUUGUAGUAAUUGGGUGCCCAGUGUAUAACUCAAUAAAAAGAAAAUCAAUUUUGGAAAAAAAAAAAAACCACCACCACCAACAAAAAACCUAGUAACAGAGCAUUGUACAAAAAAUGU